rnacentral:rRNA from 1 species
CCUACGGGAGGCAGCAGUGAGGAAUAUUGGUCAAUGGGCAGGAGCCUGAACCAGCCAAGUCGCGUGAGGGAAGACGGUCCUAUGGAUUGUAAACCUCUUUAGGCGGGGAGCAAUGCCGGGCACGCGUGCCCGGAGGGAGAGUACCCGCAGAAUACGCAUCGGCUAACUCCGUGCCAGCAGCCGCGGUAAUACGGAGGAUGCGAGCGUUAUCCGGAUGUAUUGGGUUUAAAGGGUGCGUAGGCGGAUUUUUAAGUCAGCGGUAAAAUGUCCGGGCUCAACCAGGGCCGGCCGUUGAAACUGGGGAUCUUGAGUGGGCGAGAAGGAUGCGGAAUGCGUGGUGUAGCGGUGAAAUGCAUAGAUAUCACGCAGAACGCCGAGUGCGAAGGCAGCAUACCGGCGCCCGACUGACGCUGAGGCACGAAAGCGUGGGGAUCGAACAGGACUAGAUACCCGGGUAGUC